rnacentral:rRNA from 1 species
GCUCGACUUCGUCGGUUCCUCGGGCCGAGGCACGUACGGUGAAUAGGGACGGUCGGGGCCGCCCGUACCGGGUCGUGAGAGGUGAAAUUCUAGGAUCGACCCGAGACGAACCGCCGCGAAAGCAUUCGGCAAGGACGCUUUCAUUAAUCAAGAACGAAAGUCGGGGGAUCGAAGACGAUCAGAUACCGUCGUAGUCCCGACCGUAAACGAUGCCGACCGAGGGCCCGGAGGAGUUACGUACGACCCUCCGGGCCCUCCCGCGAGAAAUCAGGAGUAUUCGGGUUCCGGGGGGAGUAUGGUCGCAAGGCCGAAACUUAAAGGAAUUGACGGAAGGGCACCACCAGGAGUGGAAUCUGCGGCUUAAAUUUGACCCAACGCGGGAAAACUCACCAGGUCAGGACACGGUAAGGAUUGACGGACUGAAGGCUCUUUCUCGAUUCCGUGGAAAGUGGUGCAUGGCCGUUUUUGGUUGGUGGAUCGAUCCGUCUGGUUAAUU